AGACGGAGGGCGCAAGCGUUGUUCGGAAUUACUGGGCGUAAAGGGCAGGCAGGCGGCCCGUUAAGUCAUUUGUGAAAAUCCGGGGCUCAACCCCGCGAAAUGCAAAUGAUACUGGCGGACUGGAGACCGGUAGAGGCUAGCGGAAUUCCUGGUGUAGCGGUGGAAUGCGUAGAUAUCAGGAAGAACACCUGUGGCGAAGGCGGCUAGCUGGGCCGGGUCUGACGCUGAACUGCGAAAGCGUGGGGAGCAAACAGGAUUAGAAACCCGAGUAGUCC
rnacentral:rRNA from 1 species